rnacentral:rRNA from 1 species
UUUUUAUGGAGAGUUUGAUCCUGGCUCAGGACGAACGCUGGCGGCGUGCCUAAUACAUGCAAGUCGAACGGUCUAGAGGUGAGAGUUGAGAGGUGAGAAGUGAGCUGUCGUAGACAUCGGCAGAGCCGAUGUCACCUAAAUCCCACUUCCCAUUUCCCACCUCUCACUUCUAGACAGUGGCGGCCGGGUGAGUAACACGUGGGCAACCUGCCGCGGAGACUGGAAUAACACCGGGAAACCGGUGCUAAUACCGGAUAUGUCCCUGCCUGCGCCUGCAGGCGGGGAGAAAGGCGGUCUUUUGACCGCCACUCCGCGAGGGGCCCGCGGCGCAUUAGCUGGUUGGUGGGGUAAAAGCCUACCAAGGCGACGAUGCGUCGCCGACCUGAGAGGGUGAUCGGCCACACUGGGACUGAGACACGGCCCAGACUCCUACGGGAGGCAGCAGUAGGGAAUCAUCCGCAAUGGACGAAAGUCUGACGGUGCAACGCCGCGUGAGUGAGGAAGGUUUUCGGAUCGUAAAGCUCUGUUGUGAGGGAAGAACCCCUUCGGGCGGAAAU